CUACGGGGUGCUGCAGUAGGGAAUAUUGGGCAAUGGACGCAAGUCUGACCCAGCCAUGCCGCGUGCAGGAUGAAGGCGUUAUGCGUUGUAAACUGCUUUUAUACAGGAAGAAACGACUCUUGCGAGAGGCAUUGACGGUACUGUAUGAAUAAGCACCGGCUAACUCCGUGCCAGCAGCCGCGGUAAUACGGAGGGUGCAAGCGUUAUCCGGAUUUAUUGGGUUUAAAGGGUGUGUAGGCGGACUAAUAAGUCAGUGGUGAAAUCCUGCAGCUUAACUGUAGAACUGCCAUUGAAACUGUUAGUCUUGAGUAUAGACGAGGUAGGCGGAAUGAGUUAUGUAGCGGUGAAAUGCAUAGAUAUAACUCAGAACACCGAUUGCGAAGGCAGCUUACUAGACUAUUACUGACGCUGAUGCACGAAAGCGUGGGUAGCGAACGGGAUUAGAUACCCCGGUAGUC
rnacentral:rRNA from 1 species